rnacentral:rRNA from 1 species
AUGAAGGUCGACAAAUUUCGAUCUACCAAAGAUAAAGGUCUUAAGUGGGUGGCAGACUGGAUUGGAAAACAUGCUCUUAGUGGGGCGAAGGAAAUUCAGAUCAAGUCUGUUAUCCAUGCCAUUCAGGUCUAUGCCAUGUGUAUAUUUAAAUUUCCCCUAUCCCUCUGUGAUGAGUUUUCCCAGAUCAUUAGAAUUUUUUGGUGGGGUGAUGAAGAAAAUAAAAGGAGAACUCAUUGGCUGGCUUGGGAUAAAAUGACAAGGCCAAAAGGUGAAGGUAUGGGCUUUCGCGAUCUUAGGCUAUUUAAUCAAGCUCUUUUGGCCAAACAAGCGUGGUGCCUAUUGGUUUUUCUGGACUCUUUGUGUGCUAAGGUGAUGAAAGCAAAAUAUUAUCCUCAUGGGCAUCUUAUUGAUACAGUGUUCCCUCAAUCAACGUUGCUUCCAUGGCAAUGUAUUAUGCAUGGCCUCGAUUUACUGAAACAAUGCGUCAUAUGGAGAGUCGUCGAUGGGAUCAGUAUAAACAUAUGGAGGGGUAAUUGGAUUUCUAGGGAGUCUGGCCUAAUGAUUACAACUAAGAAAAACAGAACUAUGAUCAAAUGA